GGAUGACUGUUCCCUCUGGGAUGUCCAUCUCCUGCGUCCUCUUGUUCAGCUACCACAGCUUCAACAACAGCCGGUGUCCCAAUACUUCUUCCUCCAGCAACAGUCUCCUGGGGUUCAGCUUCCAAAGUAGCUGGCAGAGCCUCCUGAACAGGGUCCAAAGAUGCACCAACGGCAGCAUCAACACCAUCACCAGCACUAGCAUCAGCAUCAGUGACAACACCAGUAUCAAAGCCACCACUAGCACCAGCGACAGCUCCAACACCAGCAACAGACACUUCCUCUAACUGAGAACAAGAAGUCGUGACUGACCCUGUCGAACGCUUUCUCCUGAUCAACGUUCAACAAGCACAAAGUUGCUGAGGUUCCUGCAACCGGAUGCCCAGCGGUGCGAGACUCAUCAGCUGGAGCCUCUCUCGAAGUAGCCACCGGAAAAGCUGUCGGGAGGGUCCCACAUAAGAUAUUCUCCUGAUGUGUCUUCCGUCCCUGACCUCUCUUCCUCCGCAGAUGAAGAAAACUCCGGCAGAUCCCUGCACUCCACGUCCAAAGACACAUCGGAGAU